AGCCAACGCGCCGCAGGGUUAGCAUCACCUUACUCCCGACUCAGUCUGAGAUGAAGCAGUUGGAAACGUUAUUUCUGGACAACUGCGAAUCUAAUGUGGAAGUGAAGAAAACCCCUGAUGAGCAAA
ensembl:processed_transcript